rnacentral:rRNA from 1 species
UACGUAGGGGGCAAGCGUUGUCCGGAUUUAUUGGGCGUAAAGAGCGUGUAGGCGGCCACACAGGUCUGCUGUGAAAACUCGAGGCUCAACCUCGAGACGCCGAUGGAAACCAUGUGGCUAGAGUCCGGAAGAGGAGAGUGGAAUUCCUGGUGUAGCGGUGAAAUGCGCAGAUAUCAGGAAGAACACCCGUGGCUAAGGCGGCUCUCUAGUACGGUACUGACGCUGAGACGCGAAAGCGUGGGGAGCGAACAGG